rnacentral:rRNA from 1 species
GAUGAACGCUAGCGGGAGGCCUAACACAUGCAAGCCGAGCGGUAUUGUUUCUUCGGAAAUGGGAGAGCGGCGUACGGGUGCGGAGCACGUGUGCAACCUGCCUUUAUCUGGGGGAUAGCCUUUCGAAAGGAAGAUUAAUACUCCAUAAUAUAUUGAACGGCAUCGUUUGAUAUUGAAAGCUCCGGCGGAUAGAGAUGGGCACGCGCAAGAUUAGCUAGUUGGUGAGGUAACGGCUCACCAAGGCGAUGAUCUUUAGGGGGCCUGAGAGGGUGAUCCCCCACACUGGUACUGAGACACGGACCAGACUCCUACGGGAGGCAGCAGUGAGGAAUAUUGGUCAAUGGGUGCAAGCCUGAACCAGCCAUCCCGCGUGAAGGACGACUGCCCUAUGGGUUGUAAACUUCUUUUGUAUAGGGAUAAACCUACCCUCGUGAGGGUAGCUGAAGGUACUAUACGAAUAAGCACCGGCUAACUCCGUGCCAGCAGCAGCCGCAG